UACGUAGGGUGCGAGCGUUAAUCGGAAUUACUGGGCGUAAAGCGUGCGCAGGCGGUUUUGUAAGCCAGAUGUGAAAUCCCCGGGCUUAACCUGGGAAUGGCAUUUGGGACUGCAAGGCUGGAGUUUGGCAGAGGAGACUGGAAUUCCUGGUGUAGCAGUGAAAUGCGUAGAUAUCAGGAAGAACACCCGUGGCGAAGGCGGCUCUCUGGGACGGUACUGACGCUGAGACGCGAAAGCGUGGGGAGCGAACAGG
rnacentral:rRNA from 1 species